rnacentral:rRNA from 1 species
AAACUCAAAGGAAUUCGCGGGGCCAGCACAAGCGUGAGCAUGUCCUGUACAUCGACGCAACGCGAUGAACCUUACCUGUGUUUGACAUCGUGCGAAUCUUCCGUAAUUGGAAUAGUGCCUUCGAGAGCACACUGACAGGUGCUGCAUGGCUGUCGUCAGCUCGUGUCGUGAGAUGUUCGGUUAAGUCCAGCAACGAGCGCAACCAUUAUCUUUAGUUACCAGCGCGUAAUGGCGGGAACUCUAGCGAGACUGCCCGGGUUAACCGGGAGGAAGGCGGCGAUGACGUCAAGUCCUCAUGGCCCUUAUAUCCAGGGAUACACACCUGCUACAAUGGUAAAUACAGAGGGCAGCGAGCCGGUGACGGCGAGCGAAUCCAUAAAGUGUAUCUCAGUCCGGACUGGAGUCUGCAACUCGACUCCAUGAAGUUGGAAUCGCUAGUAAUCGCGGAUCAGCAUGCCGCCGUGAAUAUCUUCCCGGGCAUUGUACACACCGCCCGUCAC